rnacentral:rRNA from 1 species
UACAUAGGGGGCGAGCGUUAUCCGGAUUUACUGGGCGUAAAGGGUGCGUAGGUGGUAAAUUAAGUUUCUGGUGUAAGUGCAGUGCUCAACGCUGUGAUGCUAGAAAAACUGGUUAACUAGAGUGAGACAGAGGUAAGUGGAAUUCCAUGUGUAGCGGUAAAAUGCGUAAAUAUAUGGAGGAACACCAGUGGCGAAGGCGGCUUACUGGGUCUCAACUGACGCUGAUGCACGAAAGCGUGGGGAGCAAACAGG